rnacentral:rRNA from 1 species
GACGAACGCUGGCGGCGGGCUUAACACAUGCAAGUCGAACGAGAAAGGGAUCUUCGGAUCCUGAGUAAAGUGGCGCACGGGUGAGUAACGCGUAGGCAAUCUGCCCUCAGCUGGGGAAUAACCACGGGAAACCGUGGCUAAUACCACAUAAUGUCGGAGGACCGCAUGGUCCACCGAUCAAAGUUUCAGCGGCUGAGGAUGAGCCUGCGUUGGAUUAGCUAGUUGGUGAGGUAACAGCUCACCAAGGCGACGAUCCAUAGCGGGUCUGAGAGGAUGAUCCGCCACACUGGCACUGAGACACGGGCCAGACUCCUACGGGAGGCAGCAGUGAGGAAUAUUGCGCAAUGGAGGAAACUCUGACGCAGCCACGCCGCGUGCAGGAAGACACCCCUCAGGGGCGUAAACUGCUUUUAUACGGGAAGAACACCCUCUUCUGGAGGGUCUGACGGUACCGUACGAAUAAGGACCGGCUAACUCCG